UACGGAGGAUGCAAGCGUUAUCCGGAUUUAUUGGGUUUAAAGGGUGCGCAGGUUGUUUGAUAAGUCAGUGGUGAAAGUCUGUCGCUUAACGGUAGGAUUGCCAUUGAUACUGUUGGACUUGAAUAUGGAUGAGGUAGGCGGAAUGUGUAGUGUAGCGGUGAAAUGCAUAGAUAUUACACAGGACACCGAUUGCGAAGGCAGCUUACUAAUCCAUCAUUGACGCUGAGGCACGAAAGCGUGGGGAGCAAACA
rnacentral:rRNA from 1 species